rnacentral:misc_RNA from 1 species
GAUGAAGAACGUAGCGAAAUGCGAUAAGUAGUGUGAAUUGCAGAAUUCAGUGAAUCAUCGAAUCUUUGAACGCACAUUGCGCCCCUUGGUAUCCCGAGGGGCAUGCCUGUUCGAGCGUCAUUUCACCACUCAAGCCUGGCUUGGUGUUGGGCGACGUCCUCUUUGGGGACGCGCCUCGAAACGCUCGGCGGCGUGGCACCGGCUUUAAGCGUAGCAGAAUCUUUCGCUUUGGAAGUCGGGGCCCCGUCUGCCGGAAGACCUGCUCGCAAGGUUGACCUCGGAUCAGGCAGGGAUACCCGCUGAACUUAAGCAUACCAAUAAGCGGAGGA